AUGUUGGGAGGUAGCCUUGAAGGGAGAUCUAUAUUAAGCACUUUGGAUGAGAAGCAAUCAAUUACAUCCAAAGAGAGGAAGCUUCUUGUGAGACUUCUGGUAUCCCACCUUAUUGAAAAACAUGGCGAAAUGCCACCCUCAGACACUAAGAUAGCACUUGCCAUGGCGUUGAUUUAUGAAUUUCCAUGUCUUAAGGAUGACACAGGCAGCAGCUAUGGAGCAUGGUACACACCUGGCCGAAAACACAGACCUGCUACAGGUUUUUUGGAGGAGCGCUUGAGAAAUGUCAGAAAGCGUAUGAGGAGCCUGAUUCGCCCGCGCCAACAGGAACCACAAGAGGACCAUGCUGUCCUUACACCAGAUUCACUUUCAUCUCCCCAAAAUAUUCGAGAGAUGGUUGCCUGGCUGAAAGCUAACAAAUAUCCAGUCUCUGAAGUGGAGGCCAAGAUGAAGGAAACCUCCAUACACAGAAGCAAAUGGAUUAGAUGUAACGGCUCCAAAACCAUCAGUGAAAUCCUGAGGGAGUUUCCCAGGCUGACAGACAAUCCUGGCAUGAUAUCGCAAGACUUUCAGCAACUUCAUCCUGAGGCAGCAGGACAAAUGUUUGAGAAGUGGCCUGCAAUUGCAGACAAAAUCUUAAAAUAUGCCCAACGAGAGGGAAAAAUAAAUGUUGUGCCAGAUGAUGUCACACCUGGUGAGAGAGCUUUAAAGGCCUUACCAAACCUGCUUCCCCCAUCACUCUUCAAAAGAGGUGGAAAAAUUGUGAGACCCACGACAGCGGAGUCUCAAAGGGCAUUUGUUAACAUGCAGCCUGUUGGAACCAAUAUAGUGGAGUACCUGACAAAUGUGGAUAACACCUUUCCACACGUUCUGUCGCUGGGACAUGAGAGAGUGUCUCAAACAUUUCUGGUUGUGGAAGGCCAUGCCAUUGAGACUGACUCGCUGCUUGAAGCUGUGGACCUGUGCUUUAAGUCUUUUUAUGUUUUUGACACGAAUUACCCAAAGGAGUGCCAACCCACAUGGGAGUUUUUGCAGCACUGCAUUUAUGAAAUAAAUGGACAAG
rnacentral:lncRNA from 1 species